AUUGAACGCUGGCGGCGUGCCUAAUACAUGCAAGUAGAACGCAGUUGUGAUCGGGUGAGUAAUGCGUAGGUAACUGCAUAUUAUCGGGGGAUAACUACUGGAAACGAUAGCUACUACCGCAUACUAGUAGAUGGACCUGCGUUGUAUUAGCUAGUAGGUAGGGUAAAGGCCUAACUAGGCGACGGUACAUCACCGACCUUGGAAGGUGAUCGGCCACACCGGGACUGGGGCACGGCCCAGACUCCUACGGGAGGCAGCAAGAGGGAAUCUUCGGAAAUGGGGGGAACCCUGACCGAGCACCGCCGCGGGGGUGGAGAAGGUUUUCGGAACGUAAAACUCUGUUGUGAAGGAAGCGGUACUUAACCAGAAAGGGACGGCUAACUACGUGCCAGCAGCCGCGGUAAUAC
rnacentral:rRNA from 1 species